rnacentral:rRNA from 1 species
AUACGUAGGGGGCGAGCGUUGUCCGGAAUGACUGGGCGUAAAGGGCGCGUAGACGGCUGUCUAAGUCUGGAGUGAAAGUCCUGUUUUCAAGGUGGGAAUUGCUUUGGAGACUGGAUGGCUUGAGUGCGGAAGAGGUAAGUGGAAUUCCCAGUGUAGCGGUGAAAUGCGUAGAGAUUGGGAGGAACACCAGUGGCGAAGGCGACUUACUGGGCCGUAACUGACGUUGAAGCGCGAAAGCGUGGGGAGCGAACAGGAUUAGAUACCCUGGUAGUCCACGCGGUAAACGAUGAGUGCUAGGUGUAGCGGGUAUCGACCCCUGCUGUGCCGGAGUAAACACAAUAAGCACUCCGCCUGGGGAGUACGGCCGCAAGGUUGA